UCUUAUGGAUGAGAAAAAAAAGUGGUUCUUGUGAUAGAAUCUACUGCUGGUGAAGAUGCUAUGAA
rnacentral:pre_miRNA from 1 species